GGGCUAGGAAGGUAACUCGGUGGUAGGUAGAGUCCUUGCCAGACAUGCACAAGGUCCUAGAGUUCAAUCCUCAGCAAUAAGAAGAAAGUAAGUUUAACA
rnacentral:miRNA from 1 species